CUUCUGUUUCUAUGCAUUUGCCUAUUCUGGACAUUUCCUGUAAGUGAAAUCAUACAAACAGAGAUCUACAUACCAUAUCUAAACACUGAAAAUUUUUAAAUCAGAGCAAACUGUUAAAUAAAAUGUUUUAUCCUUGUAUUCUGACAAAUAUACAGUCAUAAAGAAGGUCAGGCUCUAAUUUAGAAUUCUCACGCUUCUCAGAAUGCUGUUGCUAGAGAUGGCAGUGUGGAGAGAGCUAGCCCCAACCCUCAACCCAUGCCCUUCUCUUCUCAGCCCAGGCUCCAUCUGCACCAUGAGGAGCAGUGUGUGUGUGUGUGGACACCUAGCCCAUAAGUGCAAGCUGUUGUCACCCACUCUCUCGUGAACUGUCACUCUCUGACACACCUAAAGGGAGAACAGAUGCAGGGAAGAGACCUGUGCAGGUAAUCCAGAUCUGAGCUCAGAGUGCUGUUCUGGAGUCUCUGUUACUCCAGUCUAGCCCUGUUGCACAGUGGUAUUGACACGAAGUCCUUGGAAACCACCAAUCAUUCUCCAGGGCCAUGAGUUGCUGAGGGAAUAUGAAAGACAGUGGAAUAGUACUCAAGGAAGAAGCCCAAGCCAUGAAAGUCCACCCAGAUGCAGCCUGCUGCUGGGCCUCUGCCUGCCACGCCCGUUCCUGCCUUGACCUUCCACACACUGGUCUCCAAGUCUCAAGUUCUCUGUUAUGUAUCUCUAGCUACACACAACCUGGUAACCUGUUGUAAUUCCCACUCCCUCUCAUCUACUCUCUUCACCUAAUCUGUUCUUUCAGUCCUGUGGACCUGAUUACCUACCCAGUUUCCUUAAACAGUCCAUAUUACGAGCCAGCCCUCAUGGCCUGGUGGUUAAAGUUCAGCCCUCUCACCGCCUCCGGCCCAGGUUCAUUUCCCCCUUGCAGAACCCCACCACCCAUCUGUCAGUUGCCAUGCUGUGGUAGUGGCUCACAGAGAAGAACUAGGAGGACUUACAACCAGGAUAUACAACCAUGCACUGGGGCUUUGGGGAGGGAAAAAAACCCAGAAAAACAGUUCAUGCUGCUUCAUGUUUUGGACCUUUGUUAUUUUGUGUGUUUGGCUGUAUUGUAUUAAUUAUCCAUCCCUGCAUAAAAGUUUGCCCCAAAACGUAAUAGCUUAGAGCAAUCAAUAUUCUUCUCUCUCAUGGUUUCUGCUGAGGAGCUCAGCUGGGUGGUUCUGGCUCAGAGUCUCUGCUAACAUUGAAGUCAAGCUGUCAGCUG